rnacentral:rRNA from 1 species
AUUGAACGCUGGCGGCAGGCCUAACACAUGCAAGUCGAGCGAGCGGCGGACGGGUGAGUAAUGUCUGGGAAACUGCCUGAUGGAGGGGGAUAACUACUGGAAACGGUAGCUAAUACCGCAUACCAUCAGAUGUGCCCAGAUGGGAUUGGCUAGUAGGUGGGGUAAUGGCUCACCUAGGCGGCGAUCCCUAGCUGGGCUGAGAGGAUGACCAGCCACACUGGAACUGGGACACGGUCAGGACUCCUACGGGAGGCAGCAGUGGGGAAUAUUGCACAAUGGGCGCAAGCCUGAUGCGGCCAUGCCGCGUGUGUGAAGAAGGCCUUCGGGUUGUAAAGCACUUUCAGCGGGGAGGCGUUACCCGCAGAAGAAGCACCGGCUAACUCCGUGCCAGCAGCCGCGGUAAUAC